AAUACUUUAUACUGACUUUCUGAUAUGAACAAAACAAGAUGUUGCUUCAGGCUAUCUCUUUGAAAAAAUUGUGUUGCCUUUCGGAGGAAAGCACAAGAAGAUAUGAUCAAAUUGAAUGGGUAGUGCAUUUAUCUUGUUGGUUAGUUCCCUCACCGGCCUAUUUACUGUUACCUGCGAGUUUCAGGUAUAAUACUCCCCCCCUUAGCAAAGGGUGAAUUCUCUGGUUUUGAUUGGCCAGGAGAAACUCCAUGAGUCUUGAGGAUUUUCGGAAUGUUGGAAUCAGUGGUGUUUUGUUUUUGAUGAUAUUAUCCGAUGGAGGUGACAGGGAGAGAAGAUGCUAGCUCAAUGGUGCUGGCCGUGAAGGAUUUUGGCGCAUCCAAGGAUAUAACCAACAUAAACACAAUGCUUACAAGGAGAUAUCGACUCAUUUGAUUGCUAUAUUGGCUUUGGUCACCCUUGUGGGGCUCCUUAUCUUUGAAGCAAGGUUCGGAUGCUCUUUGGACGCAGGAAGACGAACAUGAUA